AUUGAACGCUGGCGGCAGGCCUAACACAUGCAAGUCGAGCGGUAACAUUUCUAGCUUGCUAGAAGAUGACGAGCGGCGGACGGGUGAGUAAUGCUUGGGAACAUGCCUUUAGGUGGGGGACAACCAUUGGAAACGAUGGCUAAUACCGCAUAAUGUCUACGGACCAAAGGGGGCUUCGGCUCUCGCCUUUAGAUUGGCCCAAGUGGGAUUAGCUAGUUGGUGAGGUAACGGCUCACCAAGGCGACGAUCCCUAGCUGGUUUGAGAGGAUGAUCAGCCACACUGGAACUGAGACACGGUCCAGACUCCUACGGGAGGCAGCAGUGGGGAAUAUUGCACAAUGGGCGCAAGCCUGAUGCAGCCAUGCCGCGUGUGUGAAGAAGGCCUUCGGGUUGUAAAGCACUUUCAGUCAGGAGGAAAGGUUAGUAGUUAAUACCUGCUAGCUGUGACGUUACUGACAGAAGAAGCACCGGCUAACUCCGUGC
rnacentral:rRNA from 1 species